rnacentral:rRNA from 1 species
UGCCUUGGGAGUAUUUAUUAUAGGCGUAACUCACGAAAUAAUUGGGGUAAAUUUAAGUAUUUGUGAUCCCAAUAUCCCUAUGUUGACAAAUUAGAACCACAAGGUUCGCUGUUUUAUCAGAUUAUACAAGGGGAAGUGAAACAUCUCAGUACCCUUAAGUUAACAAAAAUCAACCGAGAGGUCGUUAGUAGUGGUGAGCGAACACGAUAUAGGCAUAAAACCAAAGAUUGUUGGGGCUUGAAAAUCCAUAGAAGGUGUUAGUCCUGUAGGGCCUUAAAUUUUUGGUUGGUAUUAAGUAAGAUGAGUCAAGUUGACCUUGUCCGAUAAAUGGGGGACCACCCUCAAAGCCUACGAUUAAAUUACUCACCGAUAGUGAACAAGUACCGUGAGGGAAAGGUGAAAUAGAAGUUUUGACAGUGCAAAGAUCCUGAAAUUUCAUGUUUGAGUCGAAGUAAUUUAAUUUACAACGGCCUACCUUUUGUAUAAUGGGCGAGUGAAUCUUGGCAAUGGGCAAGCUUAAGUUGAUACAAACGAAAGCGAAGAUAAAUCGAGUUAUAACAGGCGGUUAUAGUCCUUUGCCAAGUACCCGAAACCGACUGAUCUAAACUUGAGCAGGCUGAUAUUGUAAUAGAAAUAUUCUUUGGAGGGCCGAACCCGUGUGUGUGGCAAAAUACUGGGAUGAUUUGAGUUUAGGGGUGAAAGGCCAAUCAAAGUCGGUUAUAGCUGGAUUUCUGCGAAAUCUAUUUAAGUAGAGCAUCCUAAUACAGAGAGCUGGGGGUAGAGCACUGUGCGAGCAAGGGGGAUAUUAUAUUUUACUAAGCUCCGGCAAACUCCGAAUACCAGUUGUUUUAUUUAGGGUAGACAGAACACGAAUGCUAAGAUUCGUGUUCAAGAGGGAAACAGCCCAGACUAAAAGUUAAGGUCCACAAAAUAGUUUCAGUGAAAAAGGUGACUUAUCUUCCAAGACAACCAGGAGGUAGGCUUGGAAGCAGCCACCCUUUAAAGAUAGCGUAAUAGCUCACUGGUCUAGAAAAUAUGUCCCAUUAAUUCUGAGGGCUUAAAACUAUUACCGAAACUUUAGAAAGAUAAAAUUUUAUCUUUGGUAGCAGAACGUUCCGUAGUUUAAGAAGCUCAAUUGUAAGGUUGUAGUGGAGAUAUCGGAAGUGAGAAUACUUGCAUGAGUAGCAUAAAACAACGUCAAAGCGUUGUGGCCGAAAGUCUAAGGUUUCCGAUCUAAGGUACAACCGGGUCGGUUUAUAAACGGUCCCUAAGCUUUUGAUCCAAUGAUUUGGGUAAUGGGUAAGUUUUAACUGUAAGGAGUUGCUGACGUAAAAUUCACCCUAUUUAGAAUACAGUUUCUACGUAGAUUUUUUUUUCCAAGAAAUAGGCACUCCGUUAAUACCGUACCUUAAACCGCCACAGGUGGACUGGUGUAAGCGCACUAAGGCCGUGAGAUAACCCUGUUGAAGGAACUCGGCAAAUUGACUCCGUAACUUUGGGAUAAGGAGGGAAAUUGGCUGCGCAAGCAGCCAAUUUUGGCACGUAAUGAGGGGUAGCGACUGUUUAAUAAAAACACAGGUCUCUGCUAACUCGUAAGAGGAUGUAUAGGGGCUGACACCUGCCCGGUGCUGGUAGGGUAAUCUUUUGUGUAUUCGCACGAAUGUUAAACCUCAGUAAACGGCGGCUGUAACUAUGACGGUCCUAAGGUAGCGAAAUUCCUUGUCGGGUAAGUUCCGACCCGCACGAAAGGCGUAACGAUUUGGACACUGUCUCAGAGAGAGACUCGGCGAAAUAGACCUGUCUGUGAAGAUGCGGACUACCUGCACCAGGACAGAAAGACCCUAUGAAGCUUUACUGUAACUUGAAAUUGACUUUGGGUUUUAUUUGCGCAGCAUAGGUGGGAGACUAAGAUGUUUAUCUUUCGGGAUAAACUGAGUCAUCCGUGAGAUACCACUCUAGUAAAACUAAAAUUCUAACUUUGUACUGUUAGCCAGUCAGGGGACAGUUUCAGGCGGGCAGUUUGACUGGGGCGGUCGCCUCCUAAAAGGUAACGGAGGCGUACAAAGGUUUUCUCAGAUCGGUCAGAAAUCGAUCGAAGAGUGUAAAGGCAUAAGAAAGCUUGACUGUGAGACUUACAGGUCGAACAGAGACGAAAGUCGGUCUUAGUGAUCUGGCGAUAUUGAGUGGAAAAGUCGUCACUCAACGGAUAAAAGUUACUCUAGGGAUAACAGGCUGAUCUCCCCCAAGAGUUCACAUCGACGGGGAGGUUUGGCACCUCGAUGUCGGCUCAUCGCAUCCUGGGGCGGUAGUACGUCCCAAGGGUUGGGCUGUUCGCCCAUGAAAGCGGUACGUGAGCUGGGUUCAGAACGUCGUGAGACAGUUCGGUCCAUAUCCGGUGUAGGCGUUAGAGUAUUGAGAGGAUUCUUUUUUAGUACGAGAGGACCGAGAAGAACAUACCGCUGGUGUACCAGUUAUUAUUCCAAUAGUAAACGCUGGGUAGCUACGUAUGGAAAGGAUAACCGCUGAAAGCAUCUAAGUGGGAAGCCCACCUCAAGAUGAGUACUCUCAUUGUAUUAACAAGGAAGAUCACGGUAAGACGAACCGUUAUAUUACUUUUCUCUAUUGACUAAAGACUAAUAAAUAAAUUUUAGUUCUAAUAUAGAGUAAUAAGUGAGCUUAAUAAAUUAAUAUUAUUAAGAUAAAUAGGCAUUAAGUAAAAGUAUAGUAAUAUAUUCAGCUGAGAUGUACUAAUAGAUCGAGGACUUGACCUU